UACGGAGGGUGCAAACGUUGCUCGGAAUCAUUGGGCGUAAAGCGCACGUAGGUGGCCUGUUAAGUCGGGUGUGAAAUCCCUGGGCUCAACCCAGGAAGUGCACUCGAAACUGGCAGGCUUGAGUACUGAAGAGGGUCGCGGAAUUCCCGGUGUAGAGGUGAAAUUCGUAGAUAUCGGGAGGAACACCGGUGGCGAAGGCGGCGACCUGGGUAGAUACUGACGCUGAGGUGCGAAAGCGUGGGGAGCAAACAGG
rnacentral:rRNA from 1 species